CUCACCAUCUCCCCUGCUCCCCCACCCCUCCUCCCCUUCACCGCCGGCACCAUCUUCUUGAAGUAAGGAAUCAUACUUUGCUGAAGAUGAAUGGAAUCAUGUUCUUGAAUGGCUCAUCACUAACUGGUGGGUGAUUAAACAUCAUUGAUGCCCCCAGAAAGAGUUGUGCUGAAGAACCAGGUGCAGCCUCGGGUUGAUGACUUGGUUGACACUGGUCAGGGCUUGUUCUUUCAAGCGGAAUACUGGACAGUGGAAUGGCAAACACUGAGAUGAUGGUACACCAGAAAGUAUGCUUGAUUGUUCUACAUCUCUUUGUGAAAGCACAGUUGGCGCCAUACUUGGUUGUGCAGCCUGAAUUAUCAGAUCCGUCGGAGUAGAAACUUCCCUGGAUGCUGAUGGUUGCAUUUCAGGUUGCGAAGUCUGUGCUGCUGGUGUUAUGCCCAGUGUACUGUACAGACCAGGAUGAGCAAGUAAGUAUGCUCACAUUGCUAUGCUGAAAGAGCAAAAACAACACAUCCUAGAUGAGCCUACUAAA